rnacentral:lncRNA from 1 species
AUGUAUAUAUAUAAUAGUUGGGUGGGGGGCAGGGACUUUGAAGUUUCUGAGCUGCAUUUUCAGUCUUGGAAAUACACCCCAAAUCACCUGUUCUCUGUAGAAUUGCCUUACAGGCUGCGUUCACUACAGCCACCAGGAAAAUGGGAGCCGGGGAGUCGCAGGGAAGAGAAGGUCCUUGGAGGAAAUGAUGGAUCUGGUGAAGUGUUCAGAAGGGUGGCCCCCACCCCUCUCGGGACCCCCCCGUCUUCCUCAGGCCGUGUCCAUUUCCAAACAUCGCGAGCACUGGGUAAACAAACAACGGACUCGUACGCGGCCUUCAUUAAGGAAAUGAUUCGGGAUCUAAGGUUCCUUCUAGCUUAUGGCUCCAUCGUUCACUGCCUCAGAGUCCUCAUUUUCCAGCGAGAAAAAGAGACAACAGAGAAGACAUAUGGGCUCUAUAAAACUCUUCUCUGGGUGUGACUCAUGUCACAUCCACUUACAUUUCAUUGGCCAGAACUUAUCAUCUAGCCAUUCCUGGAUGCCAGGCUAGGAAACAGAACCCUAGUCGACCAGAUGCCACUGCACGGGCGGGGAGAGCAAAUUUUAGUGGCCUGUUCAUCCUCUGCCACUACUACCAGAGGCUAGCGUGGUUUUGUUAACCAAUUUCUGCUUGGCAAAACAUUUCCAUUUUGAAAGCAAGGAUAAAAGACCCAUGUCUAGAAACCAUCCUAAGACUUAGUUCAGCCCUUUUCUUUUCAGUAGUAGGAAAAAUGUAAAAAGUGGACAUGUGACAAAUUUGAUAGACUGGUAAAACUCUAAAAAGGCCAUUAUUCAAAUAUUUAUGGAUCCUUUUAGCUAAUGGAUUCAAAUUUAUAAUGCUGAACUUGUC